rnacentral:rRNA from 1 species
UCGGGGAAAUCCGUAGAGAUGUGGAGGACCCCAGUGGGAAGGGGGUUUUUUGUUUUUAACUGCCGUGGAGGCGGAAAAGCGGGGGGGCAACCGGAUUAGAUACCCUGUAUUCCACGCCUUAAAGGAUGAGUGCUAAGGUUUAGGAGGUUUCCGCCCUUUAGUGUUGCAGCUACGCCAUAAGCACUCCGCCUGGGGAGUACGGCCGCAAGGCUGAAACUCAAAGAAAUUGACGGGGGCCCGCACAAGCGGUGGAGCAUGUGGUUUAUUNGAAGCAACGCGAAGAACCUUAACAGGUCUUGACAUCCUCUGACACUCNUAGAGAUAGGACGUUCCCCUUCGGGGGACAGAGUGACAGGUGGUGCAUGGUUGUCGUCAGCUCGUGUCGUGAGAUGUUGGGUUAAGUCCCGCAACGAGCGCAACCCUUGAUCUUAGUUGCCAGCAUUCAGUUGGGCACUCUAAGGUGACUGCCGGUGACAAACCGGAGGAAGGUGGGGAUGACGUCAAGUCAUCAUGCCCCUUAUGACCUGGGCUACACACGUGCUACAAUGGAUGGUACAAAGGGCUGCAAAACCGCAAGGUCUAGCCAAUCCCAUAAAAUCAUUCUCAGUUCGGAUUGUAGGCUGCAACUCGCCUACAUGAAGCCGGAAUCGCUAGUAAUCGCGGAUCAGCAUGCCGCGGUGAAUACGUUCCCGGGCCUUGUACACACCGCCCGUCACACCACGAGAGUUUGUAACACCCGAAGUCGGUGGGGUAACCUCACUGGAGCCAGCCGCCUAAGGUGGGACAGAUGAUUGGGGUGAAGUCGUAACAAGGUAA